ensembl:lncRNA
CUUCACGGCCAUCGAGGUACUUUUUUAAGCCACCGCUGUCCGAAACACGAGCUCACGCUGCGUUCUUACACGCUACGAGCACGGACCGAGCAAUCCUGCGAAACCCCGGGGCAGCGCGGGUGCGCGAGCGCUCAGCAGCCCGCCGGGCCGAGGGCAGGCGCGGCGCCGGAGCCGGGGCCGGGGCCCGGGCAGCACCGGGCCGGGCAGCGCCGGGCAGAGCCCUCGGCCGCGGGGCCCGGCCCAGCCGCGCGGCGUCCGCACCUCCCGGGCGGGCACGGGCGGGGCCCCCGGUACCGCUCCGCGGCGCCACACGGCCCGGCCCGGCCCGGCGCUCCCGUCCGCGGGGCAGCCCGGCUGUCAGGCGCGGCCGCGCCCGCGUCCUUCUCUCGCCCCGGCGCCCCGCAGGGCUCGCCGCCGGCAGCAGCGCAGGGCAGGCGCGCUCCCGGGGACCGGGCUCCUGCUCCCCCCGCCGGCCGGCACGCGGGGCGGGCGCGCAGGCCGGGCUGCCGGGCUGCUCCCCGGGCCUCGCCCCGCUCCGGGCCCGCCGCGCCUCUCCCUUCCCUGCCCCCACCCGCGCGGCCCCGGCCCCGGCCCCGGCCCCGGCCCCGCCGCCCGCCUCGGCCCGGCCCCGCCGCGCUCCGCGGCCACAAAGUUUCACUCGCGCGGCCGCCGCCGAGCGCCGCUGGAGGGAGCGGGCGAAGGGCGCUGCCCGCAGCCGCCGCCGUGGGGCGGGGGUGCGGGGGGCAGGGGCGCCGAGCGCUCACCUCCGCCGCGCGGGCCCCGCUCGCCUCCCCGACGGCUCCCGCGGCGCGGCCCCCGCCGGGCUCCUCCGCGGCCAGGCAGGCGCGGCGCCGGGAUGAGCUCACCGCCGGCGGACGGCCGCAGUCCCCGCCUCUCCACGGGACCGACUCCGCGGGGCGGGGAGCGCCCGGGGCGGGGCGGCGGGAUCGGCUCGGCCGGGAUCGGCUCGGCCGGGAUCGGCUCGGCCCUCGGCCCGCUCGGCGCAGCCCCCGCGGGACGGCCGGGCGCGGCCCGCAGCAGAGCUCAGUGGGGCGGGUGCCGGCGGCGCCAGGCCUGGGCCGGCCCCGAGCGCGCAGGCCCCGCGGCCCACCCCACGGCAGCGCCCCCCGGCGGGCAGGGCACUGGCGGCGGCCGCCAGCCCCGACGGCCCCAGGGCCGGGCGCGACGGCUCCGGCCGGCGGGGUGCCGGGAGCUCGGCUCAGGCGUACGCGUGCCGGUGCGCGCGGCCUUUUGAGCGCGCUCCGUUCCGUCAUCUUGUCCUCAUCUUUCUCGUGCAGCGUGCCUGGACGGCAGCGACCUCGGCUAGGCUAA